AGACGAGCGGAUCGAGUUCUGUGCAAUCCCCAGCUUUUUGUUGGUUUGGUCUCCACAUUUUCUUUCCGGCUUUUGUUAUGCAGCUGCAGAGUCUGAAGGUGUGCCGCGUGCAGAAGUGAUCGAUGAAGAUCUGACAGAAGACCAACAACAAAAUCACCAUGUCAUGGAGGCUGUGGACAGCAUUUGUGUUGGAUAAGUGGAGGGUGAGGUACCAGCUGUAAAUGUGGACAGUGGCGAUCGGACAGACAGCAUCACGGAAGCUAAAGCGCAGACGAAGUAUUGUGUGUGCAAUGAACAGGGCAGAGCAGAAAUAAACACAACACUGCUUGAUAAGAUUGUUAAGGUUUGCUGUGUUUUGGUGAAUAUGUGCCCCAGUGUGGUUGUCAAACCAGCACCAAAUGAAACUUACUCUUGUUGAGUAUUCAUAAAUUGAAUAUGUUGUGUUGCAUGUGUAGUUCAUUGUAAACAACUGUACUUUGUGUGAAGUAGUUUCAAUAAAACAGAAAAGAAUAGUA